UGACAAUAGGAAGAUUUGUAUAGUUUUUAAAAGACGUCUUUCUUUGUGCUUUUUCUCUUCGGGGAUCCAGCAGGCUCCCCUGGUUAAGAAUUACCCAGUAUGAAUUCCCGAGGUCUGCCAGCCCAGCACAGACACGGGUGGGGUCUGGGUGAUUCGGAAGAGCAGUGCAAAAGAGAGGGGGCGGGGCAUGCUGAUCUGAAGGCAGAAGUGUGGAGCGGGGCCCGUCUUUGCGGUAGCGCCUCAGACCUCUGACGUUUGGGGGUUGAAAAAUGAAAGGACAGGUUGGGGUGGCAGUGGGAGAAAGACAUUAGAUAAUUGGGGGGGCUGUGUGGGACCCCACAGGGGAUCGGUAGGCCCUGAGCAUAGAGGCUCUGUAGCAGCCACUGUGAGCAGGGUGUGGUUGGGACUGGGGAGAUAGCCGUCAACAAAGUGGCCAGAUUCUGAGUACAUUUUAGACAUAGUAGUAGGCAUGCAUUACCAGUGUUCAGAGUCCCAGCUGUCUCUCAUUCCCUCCCUGCAAGGCGGUACUGAGUGAAACAGUCUUAAGAUCCUGAAGUGCAGAGAGGGGGCUGCACAAGGUCUCCUGGCUGCACUGUGGGAUUCGAACCAGAACUCCUGGACUCUGCCACUGCUGCUUCACCUGCCAGAGAUCGCAGUAGACCUUCCUGCCCUCCAGCACUGAUCUGAUCAUUCCGAGAGCUGUAUGGAUACGGAAUUUACAAGGAGAAAGUGAUAGACGCUCUUCACGGUAGAGUUGAUGGUGCUCAGUGAGGAUAGAGCCUGGUGUCCUUUCCUGGACACAGACAGACAGCGAAGGGUGUCCAUCAGAAGAUGGGGGAGAGACAGCACACGAAAGUAGAAGUGAGGCUGAUGAGGAGACUGAGGGGCAGCAGGAGGGAGGGAACGGAGACACACUGCAUGUGUGGGACACCCACAUGCAAUAAAUAUCUGCUUAUAUGAAAAUGUGAAAGUAUUGGGAAAAGGUACAGUAGUUAAAUAUAUAUAUAUAUAUUUUAUCAAAGAGAAAAAUGUAUAUUAAGAGUACCAAAAAAGGAACAAAUUUAUAUAUAACUCCCUUGGUUUCCUCAGGUUGUGUCUUUGUUUUGAUUCACUAAGCAUAUAUUUUAAUAAUUUUUUUCUUCUCAGAGAAAAUUGAAGUACCUGUACUCAAAAAGAGAUGUGAGGUGCUGCCAUUGGAUAUAACUACCCCAGAAGAAACACAUGCUGCCAGUGCCCCUAGGGAAGAAGUUUCUAGACUGCCACUUCAGAGAGAAGAGAAAGAGUCCUGCCUUAAUAGUUUCAAUGAUAACACUGUGCAGUGGGGCCAGCCAGCCUCUUCAGCCAUUCAGCCAGCCAGCCUCUCUCCCCACAAGAGCCCGCCUCUGGACAUGCAGUCAAAGAAGGAGAAGAAAUGUGUGAAGCUUGUGGAUGGUCCAGCCAAUGCUGAGGCCUUACGUGAACAAAAUGGGAACACCCCCAGCUCUCCCAGGUUAACUGCAGAGUCAAAGCUUUCAACAGAAGU